GGACACCAUAGUGACUGACCGCCACACUGCAAUAAAGUCUGUGUUAAGGGAAUUGUGUCCACACAUCAAACACCGUUUUGACGUGUGGCACGUUGCGAAAGGGAUCAAGAAAAAGCUUGUGUCUCUCAGCCGCUCCACAAAGCACCACGUUGUGAAGUUCUGGAUAGAGAGCCUUAUCCGACACAUAUACUGGUGUCCAAAGUACAGUGGGGAAAGUGGUGACCUUUGUCUGGCGAAGUGGGUAUCGGCAGUGAACCACAUUGUCGAUGUCCAUGAACAUGACAACCCACUGUACCCAGUUUGUUAUCAUGGCCCAGUUUCAGAACCACGAGAAUGGCUCAAAGAAGAUAGUGAGACGUACGCAAAGGUCAAGGACAUCUUGACAGCACCCGCACUGCUCAGGGAUGUCCCUAUGCUUUCUGCAAAACAACAGACAUAUGGCCUGGAGUCAUACCACAGUGUCCUGAACCACUUUGUUCCGAAAUCCUAUUCGUUUUCUGAUGAGGGGAUGGUGGCCAGGUAUUAAA